rnacentral:rRNA from 1 species
UACGUAGGGUGCAAGCGUUAAUCGGAAUUACUGGGCGUAAAGCGUGCGCAGGCGGCUUUGCAAGACAGAUGUGAAAUCCCCGGGCUCAACCUGGGAACUGCAUUUGUGACUGCACGGCUGGAGUGCGGCAGAGGGGGGAUGGAAUUCCGCGUGUAGCAGUGAAAUGCGUAGAUAUGCGGAGGAACACCGAUGGCGAAGGCAAUCCCCUGGGCCUGCACUGACGCUCAUGCACGAAAGCUGGGGAGCAAACAGGG